rnacentral:ncRNA from 1 species
GCAUUAUUAGUCAAUUAAGUGCUCAAGCGCUCAUGUUAUUUACAGUGACCCUAUCCAGCAAUAUCCCGUGGGUGAAGAAGGGCACUGAGAAUGGAAUUUCGUGUGGAGGGAUCAAAUCCUAAGAUAUAAGAAGGAACGCCAACCGCGAAGACAGCUCUCUGGGUCCCCACUGACGCUGGGGUGAGAAAGCAUGGAGAGCAAACAUGAUCAGAUACCCGGGUAGUCCAUUCCGUAAGUGUGUUCGUCCUUGGUUUUCCUGCCUACUAAGUAGGAUUAGGAUCAGGGGGCAGCUAACGCGUGAAACACUCCGCC